GUAACAAGGUUUCCGUAGGUGAACCUGCGGAAGGAUCAUUACUGAGUGAGGGCCCUCUGGGUCCAACCUCCCACCCGUGUUUAUUGUACCUUGUUGCUUCGGCAGGCCCGCCUUACGGCCGCCGGGGGGCUUCUGCCCCCGGGCCCGCGCCUGCCGGAGACAAUCUUGAACGCUGUCUGAAGAAUGCAGUCUGAGCGAUUAAGCAAAAUUAGUUAAAACUUUCAACAACGGAUCUCUUGGUUCCGGCAUCGAUGAAGAACGCAGCGAAAUGCGAUAAUUAAUGUGAAUUGCAGAAUUCAGUGAAUCAUCGAGUCUUUGAACGCACAUUGCGCCCCCUGGUAUUCCGGGGGGCAUGCCUGUCCGAGCGUCAUUGCUGCCCUCAAGCACGGCUUGUUUGUUGGGUCUUGUUCCCCCGGGAACAGGCCCGAAAGGCAGUGGCGGCACCGUCCGAUCCUCGAGCGUAUGGGGCUUUGUCACCCGCUCUGUAGGCCCGGCCGGCGCUUGCCGACCCCAAUCAAUCUUUUUCAGGUUGACCUCGGAUCAGGUAGGGAUACCCGCUGAACUUAAGCAUAUCAAUAA
rnacentral:misc_RNA from 1 species